UACGUAGGGGGCUAGCGUUGUCCGGAAUCAUUGGGCGUAAAGCGCGCGUAGGCGGCCCGGUAAGUCCGUUGUGAAAGUCAAAGGCUCAACCUUUGAAUGCCGACGGAUACUGCCGGGCUAGAGUACGGAAGAGGCGAGUGGAAUUCCUGGUGUAGCGGUGGAAUGCGCAGAUAUCAGGAGGAACACCUAUAGCGAAGGCAGCUCGCUGGGACGUUACUGACGCUGAGGCGCGAAAGCGUGGGGAGCGAACAGG
rnacentral:rRNA from 1 species